GAUGAACGCUAGCGGGAGGCUUAACACAUGCAAGUCGAGCGGCAAGGCAGCAAUGCCCUAGAGCGGCGCACGGGUGAGUAACGCGUAUGCAACCUACCCUUUACAGGGGGAUAGCCCGUCGAAAGGCGGAUUAAUACCCCAUAGUACUAUUUUGUCGCAUGGCAGAAUGGUUAAAGUACCAACGGUAAAGGAUGGGCAUGCGUGACAUUAGUUAGUUGGCGGGGUAACGGCCCACCAAGACUACGAUGUCUAGGGGUUCUGAGAGGAUGAUCCCCCACACUGGUACUGAGACACGGACCAGACUCCUACGGGAGGCAGCAGUGAGGAAUAUUGGUCAAUGGGCGCAAGCCUGAACCAGCCAUCCCGCGUGAAGGAUGAAUGCCCUAUGGGUUGUAAACUUCUUUUAUGUACCAAGAAUGGCCCCGACGUGUCGGGGUUUGACGGUAGUGCAUGAAUAAGCAUCGGCUAACUCCGUGCCAGCAGCCGCAGUAACAC
rnacentral:rRNA from 1 species